rnacentral:rRNA from 1 species
AUGGCCGGGAGGAGCUCAAGCUUGUCCCCGGCUUGUACGCCUCCGUCGUCUGCGUUGCUGCCAGGGGGAGAGAGUCGCGGCACUCGACGCCGUCUCCUUUGUCCACACACGCAUCCACGAGCCUCGGAUCGACCUCCCCGACGACCUCUGCUUCCCCUGCUUCCUCUGCUUCACGGACGCCAAGUCGGAGGCCUCUUCUCGUCGCCGACCUCUCCUUCUUCUUCUUCCUCGGGUCUACCUCGCCGCCGGCUAAAUUCGUCGCGUCCCCGAGCUUGA